GCUAAGCGACAAUAAUUUGAGAGAUAAUAUGUAACGAGUAUCACCAAAUGUCACUCUUUUAGAUUUGUCUUAUUAGUUAAGGAGUUGCAACUUAUGAAGUAAAGGAUAAAUUAAAAGAGUGACCUUUGGGGAUAUUCGUGGCUCAUUACUUCUCAAAUUA
rnacentral:pre_miRNA from 1 species